AUCGUACCCACAAUUACUUGGAUAACUGUGGUAAUUCUAGAGCUAAUACAUGCAAACARAGCUCCGACCGGAGACGGGAGGAGUGCUUUUAUUARAUCAAAACCAAUCGGUGGCGGGACGCACUAGCUGUGCUCGUCAUCGUACAACUUGGUGACUCUGAAUAACUUUACGCUGAUCGCACGGUCAUCGCACCGGCGACGCAUCUUUCAAAUGUCUGCCUUAUCAACUGUCGAUGGUAGGUUCUSCSCCUACCAUGGUCKUAACGGGUAACGGGGAAUCAGGGUUCGAUUCCGGAGAGGGAGCCUGARAAACGGCUACCACAUCCAAGGAAGGCAGCAGGCGCGCAAAUUACCCACUCCCGGCACGGGGAGGUAGUGACRAAAAAUAACGAUACGGGACUCAUCCGAGGCCCCGUAAUCGGAAUGARUACACUCUAAACCCUUUAACGAGGAUCAAUUGGAGGGCAAGUCUGGUGCCAGCAGCCGCGG
rnacentral:rRNA from 1 species